rnacentral:rRNA from 1 species
GACGAACGCUGGCGGCGUGCUUAACACAUGCAAGUCGAACGGAAAGGCCUGCUUUCCCUUGUGGAUUGCGGGUACUCGAGUGGCGAACGGGUGAGUAACACGUGAGUGAUCUGCCCCCAGCUUGGGUAUAAGCCUGGGAAACUGGGUCUAAUUCCCGAUAGGACUGCAGGGUGGUGCCUGUGGUGGAAAACGAUUUUCUAGUGGUUGGGGAUGAGCUCGCGGCCUAUCAGCUUGUUGGUGGGGUAAUGGCCUACCAAGGCGGCGACGGGUAGCCGGCCUGAGAGGGUGGACGGCCACAUUGGGACUGAGAUACGGCCCAGACUCCUACGGGAGGCAGCAGUGGGGAAUAUUGCACAACGGGCGGAAGCCUGAUGCAGCGACGCCGCGUGGGGGAUGACGGCCUUCGGGUUGUAAACUCCUUUCGACCGCGAGGAAGCCACCUGGUUGGAAGGGUGGUGACGGUAGUGGUAGAAGAAGCACCGGCUAACUACGUG